CUUAACUUAGAAAUGUACAUAGAACCGCCAGAUGAAGUGGAAGGUUAAACCAGGGGAAAAUAGGUAUAAAUUAUGAGAUUCAACAUAUGAAUGAAUUAUGAUUGUCCGCGCGCCACUAAGGGCAGGCGGAGCACGCACUUUGUGAUUGUGUGUGUAUCGGUAGGCGCUUAAUAGCGUUAUUCUGAAAACUUAAAAAAGCUUAUGGAUAAUUAAGUUUGAAGAAAGAAAAACAACGAAUUGAUGUAGACAACGGUGGUGUAUAUUUAUUAAGAUAAAUAUUAAUAAUGGGUGAUGAUAAAGGAACAUCUUUUUAAAAUCUUGAUCGUUUUCUUUCAAGGGUAGUAGUAAGAAGCCUGUCCACCCCCGCGGCCCCCCCCACCCAGCAUCGGCAUGGUGUGUAACUCGCAGAGACAUGUGUUUGCACCUGAACUCUAUAAUAAUGUACUUAAAGAGGGUAAGGGUUCUGGCUAGGUCUUUUGUUAAUUGCUUUAUCAUAUGAAUAAACUAUGGGAGUACAUUACAAUCGUGUUAUCAUUUGUAGUUUUUAUUUACAGCUUUAUUUUAAUUAAGCUUGCUGUACUUAGACUUAUCAAGGCAAUAAACUGACUGUAACUGGUGUUUAUGCAUAAUAAUGUGCAAUGAAAAUAAGAUUAAAGAAGAUGGUGAUAGCAAAAACCAGUUACAGUUUAUGUUUUUAGAACAUAUGCACUGAAAAAAAAUUAGAUCACCGGCUGCCUGAAUUCAAUCCAGCACCAUCAUAGCCCCCUAAGUAUAAUAACUAUAACAGCCCCAGCCCAUGACAGAGCAAGUCUCUUUUGGGGUUAUAAUAGCUGACUACAGUACCAGCAACAAUACACUAUUGACUAGCAGACAAUCAGAAAAAGACUUGUAACAGGGUGCUUCAUCCUCCGAGAAUUUAAAAUGUUGCCACUGGCAUAGUUUAUGAAAAUUGGAAGCGCUUCAUCUAAAGAGAAUGUAACACUUUCCUUCCAUGGGCAGCAAAAAGCUAUACACUUUUAGACCAGCAUUAGUGAUUAGCAUAUGCCUGAAGUAAUCAGAUUUUAUUUUGCUCUGCUAUUGGCCCUAGCCAGAAGCCUUAACUGCUAAGUAUAUCCCAAUUUUAUUUACAAAUCUUUUACAUCAGUUUUUCUCUCCUAAGCGCUCACUAUCCUUCCUCAAGUAUUAUAUCUGAAGCCAACUGACAAUUUUGUGGAGGUGCGGACUGUAGACUUAUUUUUUUCUUCUUAGUGGCAAAUAGAGGUUUAAGUUGCAGUAAUUAGUGAGAACUAGCCAAGCAUCUUACUAUUAUGAUGCUUGUUAAAAACGCUUCGCUCCUGCAUCUGCAUUUGAGUGGGUUCCCUCCUCUCCUAAUCUCCUUAUGGAAAUGAAGGCGAACGGCAGGGGACCUGCAGCGUCUGGGAGAAUGCCCUUGUUAACUGGAAUUUCUCAGCAUUGCUAAUUAGCAGAGUUUGACGACCACCAGUAUUGGGGGAAAGCUCUGUUUAACCACUCGCCAACCAUUCCGAGGAAGAGCAGACUAAUUUUAUUUUGUAAUUAAAAUCUGAAAAGGGCCCUAUUUGACAGUUAGGGCUAUGAGAGUUUUAUCUCCCCGAGAAAUAAUUACUGCCUUGAUAACUCAAUUUUCUGAAAAAUGUCAACUGUGGGCUCCAAAAGUUUUAAUUUCAUUACAUAAGGAAAAGAAGCAAGAAAAAUAGGAGAAAAUGUACAGAAAGGCUUUCUAAUUCUGGAACUGGUUAAAUAUAUUAGGAGCCAGCUUUACCGAAACGAAGUGCUCCCCUCCACUUUUUGCUAUGCUCCUCGUCCCUCUAAAUGCUAACCUUCUAACCACCUCUCGUGGACAUGGCCAUAGCAGGGAUCCUUCUGCAGUGAGGGAAAUGACGUCGGAGCCUGGUACUCAAGAGGCAAAUGAAGCUAAAAAGUGAAGUACAGAAACUGUAAGAAAGUUUGUGAUUUUAAAAGACAAAGAUAUAGAGAAUGUUGUACCCAAGACUUAGGGAAAGGCUGGAAGAAUCUGACGAGGUGAGAUUCUAUUAUCUAUCCCCAAAUACUACAGGAAACAGAAAGUUAUGUAGUAAGGACCCUGGCAUAUACUACUUUAUAAAAUGUUUUCUUCUGCUCUCUAAGUCACAAAAGUGCCCAGUCACUCCACUUGGCAGGUGGGGUACCUACCACUCUGCUUCCAGAAGGACCAGAGCUUUAAGAUUUAAGAAACACAGAUGAAUGAAGAUAAAGGAAUGCAUUUAGAAGGGUUAUUUUCCAAAUAAAUAAAUAAAUAAGAAUAUAAAAUCACAUACUUUCUAAAAAUAAUUAACCAGAAAUAUGCUAGAAAAGUUAGGGUACAGAAAGCUGGGGUAAGAACUAGAAAAUAAGUUGCAUCGCCGUGAAGCUUUCUUUCCUCUACUAAGAAGCUUCCCUCACUCAACACCCAUAGGGAUACCUUAAUUUUUACAGCAUGACUUUGAGAAUAAUGGAUGCUCUUUCAUUUGUACCUUACCCAUCCCAUCUUCCUAUGUUAAAUUUGUUAGAUUUCGGAAGUGUGAAAGAUUAUUGACAGGGACCAUCAUCCACUUUUCAAGAUGUCAUGAAGAACAACCACAAACUUUUACCCCUUUCUAUUGACCAUAUGGAUACAAGGUAGACUGGCAACUUAAAUUUGCUUAGUCAUAUUUUUUCUUCUUGUGUGUGCCUUUAAUUUUCAGAAGUGGUAUUAUACACAACAAAUGGACAAGGGGCUGUCGGAGCCCAGAUCCAAUUUUACCAAAUAAUUUCACUCAAGAGUUGCAAGGACCCUUGAAAGCUAAGGAAUGCAGGACGGCCUGUAUGCUGCCCAUUGUACUCAUUCCUUUCCAUGUAAUCUCACCGAUGAAGUAAAUACAUUUUAAAAAAGAGUUUGGCAAUUAGAAACUUAAUAUAUUUUCUUCUUGCUUUGAACCUAAUCAUUCCCCAUCACUUUUUUUUUUUUAAGUCUUCUGGGCUGUAUGUAAAACAAUAUGAUUUACAGGGUUUCAUGUAUUUUUACAUCUUUUAGAUAUUCCAGAUCAAUUAUUUUCUAGAUAAAGUAUUCACACUUCACGAUUUUCAUUUCCAUUUUUUGAAUUAUCAGUCAGGAGAUUCUCUUCCCACAACUGCUGUUGCUGUCUAGGGGAAAAUGUAGUUUGCCCAUGAAAUGAUCUAAUUGCUUUAAAACAGAAAUUCCCCUGUUAAAGACAAGCUGAGAACAGGAUGAGCAGCCACUGUUGGUUUUCAAUUGCACUUCUGAUUGUAAAAAUCAGGAGAGAGAGAGAGAGAGAGAGAGAGAGAGAGAGAGAGAGAUAUUACCAGAUACUUUAGAGAGUCCUUAGUCCCUUUGUACCCCCAAAUCAAUGCCUGGAAGUGUAUCACACACCUGUUUGACUGACAAACUAUUUUGGGCAAAUCAUCCUGCCAAAAGCAUAUGGCCUCCUUUGUCCAGUGGCCAUGGUUGUUUCCCCAAUUUAAAGAAACAGAUGUUCAUUUAAGAUGUUCUAGCUGUAAUUAUUUUAUUUAGUUGUGACAUCUAUCAGAAUAAAACAAACCCAAGCCUUCCUUGAGGCUUUUCUGACCUAUAUUCAGUGACAGCAGUGCAGGCCAGUGACAUGUGACUGCUGCAGCCUAGUCCAAGUGGCUGGAACUCUGUGCCUGGGUCUCGAUCUUCUUCGUGGGGUGACCUCAUAUAACUUUCCGCUCUCUGUCACUCAUAAGCUUCCUUUCUGGAAGCUCAACCCAAUGUAACCCAAACAUCAACAGAAAGCGAUAAACCCGCAGAAAGCAAGGAUCUCGGGCACCACCAAGAGCCAUGGGAAGGUGUUCCGCUUCGCAGCAAAUGACUGGAUUGCUCAUGGGAAAGGGAGAAAGCUUUCCACCUGUAGCAUGACAAGAAGCUAAAGCAAAUCUAUGUGGCAAAAGUCACCCACACUCACCACCAGACCUAACAGAAGCCAUGGCUGUUGUGUGAAGAAAAUCACCCCACAGUCACCACCAGAUCUAAAAGAAACCAUGGCUACUUCUGGAAGGUUUGCCCAUGGUGCACACUAACGUGCUGUGAAUCAGUGUGCCCCCAUCUCGCGGGGGGUGGGGGACGGGACGACGACGAUGACGACGACUGGUAUCCUUCAGGCCUUCUGUCGACACCAGGAGGCCGCUUCCAAAAGCUCUUCUAACCUCAAAAGCCAUGUCUGAGAAGUCAGCUUUCCAGGAGGCCCACUGCUGCUCGUCCUCGGCAUCCCCUUCCAGCCCAGGCUCAAGAGGAGAGCUGGGCUUCCAAACCCAUCCCUGUGGAAUUCUCAGAUCGCUGGCCUGAUAAUCUUUAAAGGCUCCUUCUGAGCUGGGGCUCCGACUUUUAUCUCUCCUCCUACCCUUCUUGGCUUUUUGUUGGCGGUCCCCACUCCUUUUUCUUCUUACCACCCCCCCCCCUUAAUUUGGAGAUCACUGACAAGCUGCGCAGUAAUGAGUCCUUCAGAAACUGUUAUGAUCUAUGGUGACAGUCUCCACACCUAAUUCACAGAUUAUUGACAAGCACCGUGGGCUCAAUGGUGUCAAGUUGUACUUGUAGUAUCUACACCCUUCAGCAUCCCACAUAGCUUCUGGGCCCUGGUUCCGGAGCCACAGCCUGGCAGUUUAUUGAGAGAUGAUCAUCUAUCUGUAUCCUGUUCCUUUCAUCCUGGCCCAGCUCUCACUGGCUCUUUGUCUGGGACUUGGAUUCCAGGAACUGAAGGUUUUCUAGCGUUUAAAAAACGAACAAGAAGAGUAAACUUAAUAAACGAAAUCACAUCCUCGAACCUGGCUCUUAUUAAUGAGUCUUGCCCCCGCCCCAUCUCCAAAUAGCCUGCCCAACUCCAAACCACAAACUCUGCUUCUCAGCGUUCUAAGCUUGGGAGGUAGGGGGAAAGAAAGGAAGGAAGGGUUGAGGACUUGGCCUGGGCUCAGUGGACCUAAGCUAAGUUGGCCCACCCGGCUGGCUGGCUCACAGGACUCACUACUUCACAAAGCAAGGCGCCCAGCCAACCCGCCCGGGCUCAAGCCUGGACGCGGCGACUACAGACCCACAGCGCCUGCCACGCCCCUAAAGGGUACAGUGCGGCUGGGGAGAACCGGCCGGCUGCCAGUCCCAGGAGGCUCUGCCUUCUCAACCCCUCUUGCCGCCUCCCUAGUCUCCAAAGGUGGAGGGGCCGCCUCCCCGCUGGCAGUCCUGUGGCGUGGGAUUGGGGCAAGGGCUGAGCCACCUGCGGCUGCAGAAUCACAAUGCAAUCCAGCAUCGGUGGUACGCUCAGGCCUGGCUCACCCCCGGGCUCAACUGCUUCUUGUUCAGCCGGGCUGUGCACUCUCCUCGGACCUUGCGAAGUUAGGGACUUGUGGGCGACACACCUGCCCCCGCUGACCUUUGCCUAAGUCUUCUGUCCGCACGAUGGGAGAAGGGUCUCCCAAUUUUUCCACAUUUCCCAGUGGUGAUUGUCAACCCCUUUGCAGUCUGCUUCCGAGGCAGGGUCUAUCUUGGCCUCUCUACUCCGCUGCAGCGUGCGACGGGGUGACUGCAGCGCUGGGACCCCGGGCGCCCGAGCAGCGCCCCGAGUCUCCUCGGUGGGAGUGAGAUCCCAAGGCUAGUUCCAGGUUGGAGUCUUCCUAACCAGGCCUACCCUCUUCUUGGAGUAAAGGCUGAAGAUGCCAAGGCAGCGGCUCCUGUUUGCCUAUCAUUUCGCCAGACUGCCGGGUAGGGACUUCUCAAAAGCUGGCUUUUCCCUCCCUCCGCCGAGAUCCGAUCCCGGGAUCAGACGAGAGGCAAGUCAUCGCGAGGAGCAAAGCCUUUAAAAACCAUCUCGGAUCCUCCAAUCUGGAGGAGGAAUAAACAGAUCCUUAACAGCAGACUUGCAGAGAUACGGCGUUAAAUGUGCAGAAAGCCAUUCUGAUAGGAAAAAAUAAGGGGCAGUUAUGUGACGGACUCAGUUUUUACCCUGUCGAUUCCUUAAAGUGAUUAGAAAGAUGAAUAUUACCAAGGACUGGAGAUGGGAUGUGGCAGAGGAGAUGUCUGCAUUGUUGCGCAUGAUCUACAAGCAAACUGGCAAUAGUAAGGAUGUUAGUGAGAAACUGGAAGAAAUGUCAUGAGUGUGCACACCUUCCUAAUGCCUGGCUUCCCAGAGGGCAGCGGAGACCCUCGUUCACUCUCCUGUUCAGUCUCCGGUGAGAUGUUCCAAUCCAAGGCCAACUCGAC
ensembl:lncRNA